GGGGCAGCGGGGAGUGAGGCUUGCCUUACUCUGCCGGCGACCGGCGCACGGGUGAGUAACACGUAUGCAACCUACCCUUUACAGCGGGAUAACCGGAAGAAAUUUCGCCUAAUACCGCAUAUACUCCUUGGGAGGCAUCUUCCGAGGGGGAAAGAAUUUCGGUGAAGGAUGGGCAUGCGUCGCAUUAGUUAGUUGGCGGUGUAACGGACCACCAAGACGACGAUGCGUAGGGGUUCUGAGAGGAAGGUCCCCCACACUGGUACUGAGACACGGACCAGACUCCUACGGGAGGCAGCAGUGAGGAAUAUUGGUCAAUGGCCGAGAGGCUGAACCAGCCAAGUCGCGUGAGGGAAGAAUGUCCUAUGGAUUGUAAACCUCUUUUGUCAGGGAGCAAAGUCACCCACGUGUGGGUGUUGGAGAGUACCUGAAGAAAAAGCAUCGGCUAACUCCGUGCCAGCAGCCGCGGUAAUACGGAGGAUGCGAGCGUUAUCCGGAUUUAUUGGGUUUAAAGGGUGCGUAGGCGGGUUAUCAAGUCAGCGGUAAAAUCGUGGAGCUCAACUCCAUCCAGCCGUUGAAACUGAUGAACCUAGUGGGCGAGAAGUAUGCGGAAUGCGUGGUGUAGCGGUGAAAGGCAUAGAUAUCACGCAGAACUCCGAUUGCGAAGGCAGCAUACCGGCGCCCGACUGACGCUGAAGCACGAAAGCGUGGGUAUCGAACAGGAUUAAAUACCCUGGUAGUCCACGCAGUAAACGAUGAAUACUAAUUGUGUGCUCCGAAUGAGGAGUGCGUGAUACAGCGAAAGCGUUAAGUAUUCCACCUGGGGAGUACGCCGGCAACGGUGAAACUCAAAGGAAUUGACGGGGGCCCGCACAAGCGGAGGAACAUGUGGUUUAAUUCGAUGAUACGCGAGGAACCUUACCCGGGCUCAAACGCAGGAGGGAUGUUUUUGAAAGGAGGCAGCUCUACGGAGUCUCCUGCGAGGUGCUGCAUGGUUGUCGUCAGCUCGUGCCGUGAGGUGUCGGCUUAAGUGCCAUAACGAGCGCAACCCCUACCGCCAGUUGCCAACGGGUAAAGCCGGGAACUCUGGCGGGACUGCCGGCGCAAGCUGUGAGGAAGGCGGGGAUGACGUCAAAUCAGCACGGCCCUUACGUCCGGGGCGACACACGUGUUACAAUGGCAGGUACAGCGGGAAGCCACUUGGCGACAAGGCGCGGAACCCGAAAACCUGUCUCAGUUCGGAUUGGAGUCUGCAACCCGACUCCAUGAAGCUGGAUUCGCUAGUAAUCGCG
rnacentral:rRNA from 1 species